CAAUAGCGUAUAUUAAAGUUGUUGCGGUUAAAAAGCUCGUAGUUGGAGUUCUGCCAGGUGACACUCGUCCGCCCAAGUGGUGUGUACAGGGUGUGCAUCUGGCCCUUUCAAGGGGAACGUGUCUGCACUUCAUUGUGUGGUGCGAGAUCCUUGACUUUUACUUUGAGGAAAUAAGAGUGUUCCAAGCAGGCUCUCGUCGUGCAUAGCUCAGCAUGGAAUAAUAGCAUUGGACUUCGUUUCUACGCUGUUGGUUGCAAGAAGCGAGGUAAUGAUGAAGAGGGAUAGUUGGGGGCAUUCGUAUUUAACAGUCAGAGGUGAAAUUCUUGGAUUUGUUAAAGACGGACUACUGCGAAAGCAUCUGCCAUGGAUGUUUUCAUUGA
rnacentral:rRNA from 1 species